GACAGAGGGGGCAAGCGUUGCUCGGAAUGACUGGGCGUAAAGGGCGCGUAGGCGGUUUGGUUAGUUAGGCGUGAAAUUCCUGGGCUCAACCUGGGGGCUGCGCUUAAUACAGGCAGACUAGAGUGUGAAAGAGGGUCGUGGAAUUUCCAGUGUAGAGGUGAAAUUCGUAGAUAUUGGAAAGAACACCGGUGGCGAAGGCGGCGACCUGGUUCAUUACUGACGCUGAGGCGCGAAAGCCAGGGGAGCAAACGGG
rnacentral:rRNA from 1 species